UACGUAGGGUGCAAGCGUUGUCCGGAAUUAUUGGGCGUAAAGAGCUCGUAGGCGGUCUGUCGCGUCGGCUGUGAAAACUCGGGGCUCAACCCCGAGCCUGCAGUCGAUACGGGCAGACUAGAGUGCGGUAGGGGAGACUGGAAUUCCUGGUGUAGCGGUGAAAUGCGCAGAUAUCAGGAGGAACACCGGUGGCGAAGGCGGGUCUCUGGGCCGUAACUGACGCUGAGGAGCGAAAGCGUGGGGAGCAAAC
rnacentral:rRNA from 1 species